rnacentral:lncRNA from 1 species
CCAUUCAUGAGGGCAGCGCCCUCAUGACUCAGUAAUUUGAAUAGGGCAAAACCUGCAUGAUUGACCUCUCCACUGGGAUGUCUAAUCGUGUUUUCCACCCACACACCAACUCUGUUCUUUUCUGUCUUCCGCCAGCCAGUUCCGUCUUUACAUAAAACACCUGAAAUACAAGUCAUCAUUUCUUGCUUGAGUUACUGCAAUAGCUUCCCUCCUUCCACUGUUGUCUUUUUUUUUUUUUUUUUUUUUUUUAGACAUCUCCUGCUUACCAUCCUACAAUGGUUGCCUUUCACAUUUAGAAGGAAAUCCAUAUUCCUUAUUUCGAAAAAGUCCCACACAAGUUUACCUUUCUGUCCCCUCUUCCCUCUGCCCCACCCUCACCUGCUAGCCUAGGAACAUAAGCCGCCUUUGUUUCCAAAGCGUUGGGAUUACAGGCAUGCACCACCGAGCCCAGCCUGCAUUGUGUGAUAUUUUGAAAAACAUUUUAAUGACAACUCAGGGCAGUGGAGAUGUUUCAGCAAUACAGGAGCACCCAGAUUCAUAAAGCAAGUACUUAAAGACCUACAAAUGAGGAUGAUCAGAUAAGGAGAAUGGCUGACUUGACUUAGUAGGACUCUUGCUAAAAUUGGACAAAUAUGAGUGAGUACAUGGGAUAUUUGUCUUUCCGUGCCUGUCUUAUAUCACUUGAUAUCCUUCAGUUCCAU